CACCUCAAAGCUAGCCAAAACAAAUUUAUUACUCUCACCAUUAUUAAUUAACAUCCAUAGUUUUUCCCCAAAUUAAAACAUUUUUUACCUCCUAGUAUGGGCGACAGAACAGAACCUUUGAGCCAUAGAAACAGUACCGCAAGGGAAAACUGAAAAAGAAAUGAAAUAAAUCAUUAAAGUAACAGAAAGCAGAGACUAGUCCUCGUACCUUUUGCAUCAUGAUUUAGCAAGAACAACCAGACAAAGUGCCCUUUAGCCUGACUUCCCGAAACUAAACGAGCUACUUCGGAGCAGCACACCAGAGCCAACCCACCUCUGUGGCAAAAGAGGGGGAAGACUCCCAAGUAGCGGUGACAAACCUAUCGAGUUUAGUGAUAGCUGGUUAUCCAAAAAAAGAACCUAAAUUCUGCAUUAAUUCUUCAACUAAGCAAUUAAACCUAAAUACAAAGCUUCCUUGUAAAAAUUAAUAGUUAUUCAAAAAAGGUACAGCUUUUUUGAACCAAGAAACAACUUUAUUAGAAGGGCACCGAUUAUAUUCCCAAAAUGGAGUCUCCUCAGUAGGCCUAAAAGCAGCCACCUGUAAAGCAAGCGUCACAGCUCAAGACCUCCUCAACCAACAAAUUCCUAUAUAUACUCACAACCCCCUACCCAAUAUUGGAUUAUUUUAUUAACCCUAUAAAAAAAAUUAUGCUAAAAUGAGUAAUAAGGGACUACCUCCCUCCCAACACACCAGUGUAAGCCAGAAAGAAUUAAAUCACUGGCAAUUAACCGACGCCAUAACUGAGGCCCUCAUGAUAUAAAGUCACACAACAAGAAAACCUCAUCCAAACCAUCGUUAAUCCUACACAGGAGUGUCCCCAGGAAAGAUUAAAAGAAAAUAAAGGAACUCGGCAAACACAAACUCCGCCUGUUUACCAAAAACAUCGCCUCUUGCCCCACCUGUAUAAGAGGUCCAGCCUGCCCUGUGAUUUUUUUAACGGCCGCGGUAUCUUGACCGUGCGAAGGUAGCGUAAUCACUUGUCUUUUAAUUGAAGGCCCGUAUGAAAGGCACCACGAGAGUUUAUCUGUCUCUAUUUUCCAAUCAAUGAAAUUGAUCCUCUCGUGCAGAAGCGAGAAUAAUAACAUAAGACGAGAAGACCCUAUGGAGCUUCAAACACUUAAGUUACCUUACAAUCUCCCAAUUUCCUUCCCCGGACAUAAAUACAAAAAUAUUCUUCUAACUUAACUUGUUUUUGGUUGGGGCGACCAAGGGGAAAAACAAAACCCCCUUAUCGAACAUGUAAAAUGUUACUUAAAAUUAGAAUGACAGUUCUAAUUAAUAGAAAAUCUAACGAACAAUGACCCAGGAAAGACAUUUCCCGAACAAUGAACCAAGUUACCCUAGGGAUAACAGCGCAAUCCUUUCUUAGAGCCCCCAUCGCCGAAAGGGUUUACGACCUCGAUGUUGGAUCAGGACAUCCUAAUGGUGCAGCCGCUAUUAAGGGCUCGUUUGUUCAACGAUUAACAGUCCUACGUGAUCUGAGUUCAGACCGGAGCAAUCCAGGUCAGUUUCUAUCUAUGACGGUAUUUAUCCCAGUACGAAAGGACCGGAAAAAUGGAGUCCCUGCCCCAGGUACACUCCCAUCCAACCUGCUGAAAUAAACUCAAACAGGUAAAGGAUGCCCCCCACUAAGCCAAAAAUAAUGGUUC
rnacentral:rRNA from 1 species